GCCUACGGGAGGCAGCAGUGGGGGAUAUUGCACAAUGGGGGGAACCCUGAUGCAGCGACGCCGCGUGGGCGAUGGAGUACUUCGGUAUGUAAAGCCCUAUCAGCAGGGAAGAAAAUGACGGUACCUGACCAAGAAGCCCCGGCUAACUACGUGCCAGCAGCCGCGGUAAUACGUAGGGGGCAAGCGUUAUCCGGAUUUACUGGGUGUAAAGGGAGCGUAGACGGCCGUGCAAGUCUGAUGUGAAAACCCGGGGCUCAACCCCGGGACUGCAUUGGAAACUGCAUGGCUGGAGUGUCGGAGAGGCA
rnacentral:rRNA from 1 species